rnacentral:lncRNA from 1 species
GCUGGACAUGCCAAGAGACGAGUUUGAACUGGUCUGCUGGGUUACAUCUUGUGUCUAUAAAAUGAGCUGCUCAUAAAGCGUAGAUAAUACUUUCUACUGCAGGCGUUUUUUAUUAUUAUAAUUUUUUUUUUUUAUUUAGCUUUUUAAGAUAUAACGUUAGCCUUGAAGAACUGCAUUAAUGUUGCUACUGCUCUCAAUAACAUUGCUGCCCUGAAUUUGUCAGGAGCUAUCGACAAAGGUCUGUGGGAAUAAGUUGUGAUGGACUACUUUCUGAAGGACGAAUGCUGACUCUUUCUCACACUGAAAAUAACACGUUUUUAAAUCAGUGGAACACAACGGGCCAAACAAGCUGUGCAAACUAAACAGAAACACAGGACGUCUUAUGAAAGGGAUUGCAGCCUGCCGUGAAGCUUUCAUCCAUCACAGCAUCAAUCAGUAGAACAUGCCUGACUCUAAUCCACCAGACAUACAGUCAUCAAAAAGAGAGCUGGCACAAGCAAGUAAAGGCAGCAGCGCAGUCAUCAACUACAUGCACCAUUUCUUCACCAACUACAGAGUUGGGAAAACAUGUGUGGACCUGACUUGUGAUAACUGCAGUGGCCAAAACAAGAACAAGUUUGUGCUCUGGUAUUGUGCCUGGUGGACCACGCACAAGCUCCACCACAAUCUGGACCUUCACUUCCUGAUCAAAGGCCACAUCAAGCAGCUUCAGAAAGACCAGAGUGAACACUUCGUCUGAGAUUGCUGGUGUUGUGAAGAACAGCACUGUGACAGGGGUCAACAUCCCACAGCUGAUUGGAAUGGAGGAUGGUACGGUGCUGGUGGAAAGCUAUGGCUGGCAACAACACCUGACUCCGUACUUCAGGCCGCUGCCUCAGUUCAAGCAGUACCUGCACUUCAGCUUUGAUGCUCUGGAGCCUGGUGUUGUCGCCAAGGAGCGUUGGGACUCAGUCGGAACCAGGUUUCAGCUGCUGCGCAACGCUGACAUCCUUCCUCCCAUAGAUGGUCUGUCUGUAAGAGCACCACCUGGACUGGACGCAGCUAGACAAACUUAUCUUUGAGAAAAUCAGGGAGUUUUGCGAUGAAGAGGCUAUGGACAUCACAUGCCCUGCACCAAAGUCAAGGGCAGGACAGAAACAGGCUCUCCGAAUAUAGAUUCCCUUUUUCAUGAGUGGUCCGCACGGACCAGUCAUCAGCACUAUCUGUAGUGCCUCUAUUCACAUGACUCUCUCCUAAUACACACACCAUACGUUGCUGCUACUAUUUUUUUGUUUAUCCCGCUGCUCAGCCACUUUACCCCUGAUUGUAUGCAUAUAACUACCUCGUCUAUCACUGAUAUCGUUAUUGAUAGUAUUCUUGUACAUACUGUAUUUUAUUUAUAUUGACACUAUCUAUUUCUGAUAUUGCAACUAUGGAAGUAACCAUUUGGCUGUACCACUUACACCUUCUGUAGAGACCAUCCACUUAGCAAGAUAUACUGUAUAAAAUGAAUAUUGAUGUGUAGUAGUAACAUGAUUUUGUGACAUCCCACAACAAUAUCAUGUGACCGUAUCAAUUGUCCACCAAAUAAAUAUAUGGUGCAUGGAUCUGUUUAUGUACUGUACAUGUGCAAAAAAAUAAACUCACUCAGGUUGCAUGGCCUUAACUUAUGUAUGUAAUAUUAUGUGAUAAGUGCAUGUGUAACAGUAUAUAAAGUAUGCUAAUGUACUGCUGCGAAGGCAUUUGGGCAGUGGUGUAAAAAUACUUUAAAGUACUAAUUAAGUUUUUUUUUUUUUUUUGUGGUGUCUGUAUUAGUGAUGCACUGAUAUGACAUUUUUGGUUGAUUCCAAUAUUUUCCUUGCCAAAAAAUACCAAUAACUGAUAUUUACAAUUUUAGCGGCCUUUUAAGCAUUCUAGUACAGUUAAAUAGUUAACACACACAUGGACGUAGCGGUCUAAGGCACUGCAUCUCAGUGCAAGAGGCGUCACUACAGUCCCUGGUUUGAAUUCAGGCUGUAUCACAUCCGGCCGUGAUUGGAAGUCCCAUAGUGCGGCGCACAAUUGGCCCAGUGUCGUCCGGGCCGUCAUUGUAAAUACGAAUUUGUUCUUAACUGACUUGCCUAGUUAAAUAAAGGUUACACACACCACACUGACCAAAAAGUUAUUUUAUUGGCAUUUACAUAUGUCCCCAUUACCAGUAAAACAUAAUCAAAACCUAUUUCUUUCACUUACGUGCUGUGCUGUUUCGUUCAGUCGUUUCAUUCUCCACCAGGAUUUCUAUGGAACGCCGUUUGGGUCUUUGCGUGUCAAAAAAGAUACAUGUCAAAUAACACUAUUUGACGUCAAAUAACACAUGUUUCAGUAGCUAGGUGUCAUCUAAAACGACCCUCAUUUAAAAGACAGGUCUUAUUUGAUUAAUGGUGGUCGAACCCAUCUAUGUGAAGCUAACCACAAUAGUGGACUUUGCGGUUAGCCUUCAAAAUAAAAGGAUUGCAUAAUUCUGCUAUUUGUAUUAGUUUGCAUUACUGUCAAUGACAUCCUUAUUGUAGCUAGCUUCACAACACAACCCGGUGCGGUCGAGCCUCACUAGCCAGAUGAAGCUAGCUUGCUGCUUAUAACGUUAGCUUGGGCAACAGGGUCAAGAUGCCGACUAGCUAUUUAUUUUCAUGAACAGAAGUUCAAUUUCAAUAGGCGAACAAAAAGUGGCAACCUAGCUAAUACUUACAAGGAUUUCUAAAUCAUUGCUGAGAAUAAUGAAAAUGUCUGCAGGUUCUACUGGUCAUUGUUUUCAGGCUGGUUGUAUUAGUGCUAGCUAGGUACCAAGCUAAAGCUAGCUACCCCAGAAAUUGCGGUCGAACAAAUUAUGCUUUAUUUCCAACGCGGUAUUGUAAACGCAUCGUUCGUGGCUGGUGUUUGCUUGUUUGCAGACUUUUUUGUACAGCUUUGACAGUGCUACUGUAUCUUUUUUGACACACAAAGACCCAAACGGCGUUCCAUAGUAUGCAUGUCGUGAAGCUAAUAGCAGUGACGCUAUUACUGUGUAACUCCGGUAGGGCAACAUCUGAAAAAUAGCGCACUUGGUAGUGUGUACCAGUGCUCGACCAGUCGGCGAAAGCCAACAUCACCAAUGACAGAGAAUGGUUGAUUGUCAAGGGCAAUUAAUUCCAUUAUCUUGGCUUUAAUGGAUUUCGCCUUUGAGUUGUCUCGCUGAAAUUUUGUUACUCUUUCAAAUGACUGCUUGACUUGUUGACUGCUCGAUCCACACAGCAGACAUUGUGGGCUAGUUCAGGAACGCUGUGUUGCGCUAUAGCCGCAACACUGGUUGCCCGUAAUCACGGGGCAUCAUUACGUCAUCUACCUACGUUAUAUAGGUAUGCACGUCAGCUUUGACAUCGGUUUUACACAUUGGGGCGUUAAACUAGACAUCGGCCGAUACCGAUGUUGGCCGAUAUAUCGUGCUUCCCUAAUCUGUACAUUACUUUACUAUUUAUAUUUUUGCUAACUUUUACUUCACUACAUUCGCAAAGAAAAUAUUGUACUUUUACUCCAUACAUUUUCCUUGACACCCAAAAGUACUAGUUACAUUUUCACAGGAAAAUGGUCCAAUUCACACACUUAUCAAGAGAACAUCCCUGGUCUUCCCUACUGCCUCUGAUCUGGCAGACUCACUAAACACAAAUGCUUCGUUUGUAAAUAAUGUCUGAGUGUUGGAGUGUACCCCUGGCUCUACGUCAAUAAAAAUAAUACAAUUGUGCCAUCUGGUUUGCUUAAUAUAACACAUUUGAAAUGGUUUAUACUUUUGAUACUUAAAUACAUUGUGCCCCUGGCUAUCCG